rnacentral:rRNA from 1 species
GGAAAGGCGAAAAGAACCCCUGUGAGGGGAGUGAAAUAGAACCUGAAACCGUGUACGUACAAGCAGUAGGAGCAGGCUUUGUCCUGUGACUGCGUACCUUUUGUAUAAUGGGUCAGCGACUUAUAUUCAGUGGCAAGGUUAACCAUCUAGGGGAGCCGUAGGGAAACCGAGUCUUAACUGGGCGUUCAGUCUCUGGAUAUAGACCCGAAACCAGGUGAUCUAGCCAUGGGCAGGUUGAAGGUUGAGUAACAUCAACUGGAGGACCGAACCGACUAAUGUUGAAAAAUUAGCGGAUGACUUGUGGCUAGGGGUGAAAGGCCAAUCAAACCUGGAGAUAGCUGGUUCUCCCCGAAAGCUAUUUAGGUAGCGCCUCGGACGAAUACUACUGGGGGUAGAGCACUGUUAAGGCUAGGGGGUCAUCCCGACUUACCAACCCUUUGCAAACUCCGAAUACCAGUAAGUACUAUCCGGGAGACACACGGCGGGUGCUAACGUCCGUCGUGGAGAGGGAAACAACCCAGACCGCCAGCUAAGGUCCCAAAUUACUACUAAGUGGGAAACGAUGUGGGAAGGCUCAGACAGCCAGGAUGUUGGCUUAGAAGCAGCCAUCAUUUAAAGAAAGCGUAAUAGCUCACUGGUCGAGUCGGCCUGCGCGGAAGAUGUAACGGGGCUAAGUAGUAAACCGAAGCUGCGGCAAUGCACUUUAGUGCAUUGGGUAGGGGAGCGUUCUGUAAGCGGUUGAAGGUGUGUGGUAACGCAUGCUGGACGUAUCAGAAGUGCGAAUGCUGACAUGAGUAACGAUAAAGGGGGUGAAAAACCUCCUCGCCGGAAGACCAAGGGUUCCUGUCCAACGUUAAUCGGGGCAGGGUAAGUCGACCCCUAAGGCGAGGCCGAAAGGCGUAGUCGAUGGGAAACGGGUUAAUAUUCCCGUACUUCUUACAAUUGCGAUGGGGGGACGGAGAAGGCUAGGUGGGCCUGGCGACGGUUGUCCAGGUUCAAGUGCGUAGGCUGAAGAGUUAGGUAAAUCCGGCUCUUUCUAAGGCUGAGACACGACGUCGAGCAUCUACGGAUGUGAAGUCAUUGAUGCCAUGCUUCCAGGAAAAGCCUCUAAGCUUCAGAUUGUAAGGAAUCGUACCCCAAACCGACACAGGUGGUCGGGUAGAGAAUACCAAGGCGCUUGAGAGAACUCGGGUGAAGGAACUAGGCAAAAUGGUACCGUAACUUCGGGAGAAGGU